rnacentral:rRNA from 1 species
UACGAAGGGGGCGAGCGUUGUUCGGAUUUACUGGGCGUAAAGGGCGCGCAGGCGGCGCAUUUUGUCAGGCGUGAAAGCCCCGGGCUUAACCUGGGAACUGCGUUUGAUACGGAUGGGCUAGAGUUCGGGAGAGGAGAGUGGAAUUCCCAGUGUAGAGGUGAAAUUCGUAGAUAUCGAGAGGAACACCAGUGGCGAAGGCGAGUCCCUGGACAACACCUGACACUGAGGCACGAAAGCUAGGGGAGCAAACGGG